rnacentral:rRNA from 1 species
AUUGAACGCUGGCGGCAUGCCUUACACAUGCAAGUCGAACGGUAACAGGUUAAGCUGACAAGUGGCGAACGGGUGAGUAAUACAUCGGAACGUGCCCAGUAGUGGGGGAUAGCCCGGCGAAAGCCGGAUUAAUACCGCAUACGACCUACGGGUGAAAGGGGGGGAUCGCAAGACCUCUCGCUAUUGGAGCGGCCGAUGUCAGAUUAGGUAGUUGGUGGGGUAAAAGCCUACCAAGCCGACGAUCUGUAGCUGGUCUGAGAGGACGACCAGCCACACUGGGACUGAGACACGGCCCAGACUCCUACGGGAGGCAGCAGUGGGGAAUUUUGGACAAUGGGCGCAAGCCUGAUCCAGCCAUGCCGCGUGCGGGAAGAAGGCCUUCGGGUUGUAAACCGCUUUUGUCAGGGAAGAAACGCUCUGGGUUAAUACCCUGGGGUAAUGACGGUACCUGAAGAAUAAGCACCGGCUAACUACGUGCCAGCCGCCGCCGUAA